rnacentral:rRNA from 1 species
ACAUCCAGCGAACUUGGCAGAGAUGCCUUGGUGGCCUUCGGGAACGCUGAGACAGGUGCUGCAUGGCUGUCGUCAGCUCGUGUUGUGAAAUGUUGGGUUAAGUCCCGCAACGAGCGCAACCCUUAUCCUUUGUUGCCAGCGAUUCGGUCGGGAACUCAAAGGAGACUGCCGGUGAUAAACCGGAGGAAGGUGGGGAUGACGUCAAGUCAUCAUGGCCCUUACGAGUAGGGCUACACACGUGCUACAAUGGCGCAUACAAAGAGAAGCGACCUCGCGAGAGCAAGCGGACCUCAUAAAGUGCGUCGUAGUCCGGAUCGGAGUCUGCAACUCGACUCCGUGAAGUCGGAAUCGCUAGUAAUCGUGGAUCAGAAUGCCACGGUGAAUACGUUCCCGGGCCUUGUACACACCGCCCGUCACACCAUGGGAGUGGGUUGCAAAAGAAGUAGGUAGCUUAACCCUCGGGAGGGCGCUUACCACUUUGUGAUUCAUGACUGGGGUGAAGUCGUAACAAGGUAAGCGUAGCGAG